GGGGAAUUUUCCGCAAUGGGCGAAAGCCUGACGGAGGCAAUACCGCGUGAGGGAAGAAGGUCUUUGGAUCGUAAACCUCUUUUCUCAGGGAAGAAGUUCUGACGGUACCUGAGGAAUAAGCCUCGGCUAACUCCGUGCCAGCAGCCGCGGUAAUACGGAGGAGGCAAGCGUUAUCCGGAAUUAUUGGGCGUAAAGCGUUCGCAGGUGGCUCGUCAAGUCUGCUGUCAAAGACCGGAGCUUAACUCCGGGUAGGCGGUGGAAACUGAAGAGCUAGAGUGCGGUAGGGGUAGAGGGAAUUCCCAGUGUAGCGGUGAAAUGCGUAGAGAUUGGGAAGAACACCGGUGGCGAAAGCGCUCUACUAGGCCGCAACUGACACUCAGGGACGAAAGCUAGGGGAGCGAAUGGGAUUAGAUACCCCAGUAGUC
rnacentral:rRNA from 1 species